rnacentral:rRNA from 1 species
UACGGGGGGGGGCAAGCGUUGUUCGGAAUUACUGGGCGUAAAGGGCUCGUAGGCGGCCAACUAAGUCGGAUGUGAAAUCCCCAGGCUUAACCUGGGAACUGCAUCCGAUACUGGAUGGCUUGAAUCCGGGAGAGGGAUGCAGAAUUCCAGGUGUAGCGGUGAAAUGCGUAGAUAUCUGGAGGAAUACCAAUGGCGAAGGCAGCUCGCUGGGACGGUACUGACGCUGAGGCGCGAAAGCGUGGGGAGCAAACAGG